UAGCUAUAGCUAAUUGUAAAUAUCGACUCUGUUGAAUAAAAUUCUAGGUAGAAUUAUGAUAAUGACAUUGUCUGCCUAAGUGUCUUGACCAAAUUACGUGCCAGCAGUCGCGGUAAUACGUAGAAGACUAGUGUUAUUCAUCUUUAAUAGGUUUAAAGGGUACCUAGACGGUAAAUCAAGCACUAAUUUCUAGAGUUACUUGUGAGGGGGUAUUAAAGUACUGCUGGUGUAGAGAUGAAAUUCUGUAAUACCUUUUUUCGAUGGCACAGGUAUAGGUGAAAGCAUCCCCUUAUGUGAUAACUGACGUUGAAGGACGAAGGCUUUGUGUGCGAACAGGAUUAGAUACCCCAAUAUCAAAGCAGAAAAUGAUGAAUGUCAUAGAUUAGACGGUUUAUUCUAUAAAUGAAAGUGUAAGCAUUCCACCUCAAGAGUAAUUUGGCAACAUUGGAACUGAAAUCAUUAGACCGUUUCUGAAACCAGUAGUGAAGUAUGUUGUUUAAUUUGAUGAUCCGCAAAAAACCUUACCACAAUUUGAAUAUUUAUAUUU
rnacentral:rRNA from 1 species